rnacentral:lncRNA from 1 species
CUCCACUCUCUACCCUUUAUGCUCUGCGAAGAUGACCCUGUGGACUGCAUCAAUUGGGCCCCAUUGACUUCCGACUUCCAAUGAGAGGCACCAGUAGAAAAUAGCUCCAUUCAUUUUCCUGCUUUCUUUACUGCUUGGAUAUAGUGGUGGCUUCAUUCUUGGAGAAGAAAGAGCUGGAAGACAAGGACAGAGAAGGAGUAUCACUCACUGUUUAUGAUCAUGUUGAGUUUCCAAUCCCCUUAUUAUAACCAACUAGAAAAAAGUA